GAUGAACGCUGGCUACAGGCUUAACACAUGCAAGUCGAGGGGAAACGACGGGGAAGCUUGCUUCCCCGGGCGUCGACCGGCGCACGGGUGAGUAACGCGUAUCCAACCUGCCUCUGACUGAGGGAUAACCCGUCGAAAGUCGGCCUAAUACCUCAUGGCAUCGUCUGCGGGCAUCCAACGACGAUAAAAGAUUUCAUCGGUCAGGGAUGGGGAUGCGUCUGAUUAGCUUGUUGGCGGGGUAACGGCCCACCAAGGCUACUAUCAGUAGGGGUUCUGAGAGGAAGGUCCCCCUUUUGGAACUGAGACACGGUCCAAACUCCUACGGGAGGCAGCAGUGAGGAAUAUUGGUCAAUGGGCGAGAUCCUGAUCCAUCCUAGUAGCGUGUAGGAUGACGGCCCUAUGGGUUGUAAUCUGCUUUUAUGCUGGGGAUAAAGUGAGGGACGUGUCCUUUUGUUGCUGGUACCGCAUGAAUAAGGACCGUUAUGAUUCCGUGCCAGCAGCCGCGGUAAUACGUAAGGGCCGGGCGUUAUCCGUAUUUAUUGUGGUUAUAGGGAGCGUAUCCGUGUGAUAAUCGUUGUGUGAAAUGCAGGUGCUCAACUGCUGCUGUGCAGCGCGUUCUGUCCACUUAGUGUUGCUGCGCUGUGUAUUCUGCGUGUGCGGUGAUUGCUAUAUAUGUGAAGAACUCCGAUGUGCUAUGCUGCUUGUGUGUGUGCGAUUACGUGUAUCUUGUGAUUGCUUUGAUGUGACAUGAUGAUGACCCGUGUAUCCAAGUGCAUAUCCUCAGUGAUGUGUGGCUGAUGUGUUCUGCUGUUGGUGUGUUGUCGUUGAACUUUGUGUUUUUAUGUUGUUUUGUGGUGAUUAUGUUGUGU
rnacentral:rRNA from 1 species